GGAUUAAAUACUAUAGACAAGAGUGAGGGGGCGUAGUAAUCCGUCCCUCCUCCAUACUAGACUGUACAACAAUGACAACUGCUGCAGCUGCUGCACUACCUGCCGGGGGGUUUGGCUGUGGCAAAGUGAAAAUUAGCAAUGACUUCGGCGGCCUCAAUGGUUUCAGUAGUUGGAGUGGUGCUGCCAAUCAUCAUCAUCAACCUUGCAGACGCUUAAUGAUCUCUUCUUCUAGGGCUUCUUCACCCCCAUCCCCUCCUCCUCCUCCUACUCCGCCUACAGACGAUGAGGAUGAGAAGGAGGAGGUUGAAGGCAAGGUCUCUGUGAUGAAGAGGCUGGUGGACGCGAACCCCGUUGGAUUAGGGAGACGGUCCAGGCAGAUAUUCGAUGAGGCCUGGCGCAAGUUCUCGGAAUUGGGUCAGAUCUCUAGGACCACCCGCACCAACGACGAGAGUAUCCUUCUUAUUCAGGAGGGCGGCCCCAUGUGCGAGUUUGCAAUCCCUGGGGCUCAGAACACCACUGUUCUCGUCAUCGGUGCUACCAGCCGUGUUGGUCGUAUUGUUGUCCGCAAGCUCAUGCUCAGGGGCUAUUCGGUCAAAGCUCUGGUAAGGAAUGCGGAUCAACAAGUUGUGGACAUGUUGCCAACUUCCGUUAAGAUUGUGGUUGGGGACGUUGGAGAUCCUGCCACUCUCCGGGAUGCUGUAGAAGGUUGCAACAAGAUUAUCUAUUGUGCCACUGCUCGUUCUUCGAUUACUGUCGAUCUCAACAGAGUUGAUCAUCAGGGUGUAUACAACCUCAGCAAAGCCUUUCAGGACUACAACAAUAAGCUAGCACAGCUGCGGGCUGGAAAAAGCAGCAAGAGCAAGCUUUUACUUGCAAAGUUCAAGUCCGCAGAUUCCUUGAAUGAAUGGGAAGUCCGCAAGGGAACUUAUUUCCAGGAUACAGUCGCUGCCAAAUAUGAUGGAGGAAUGGAUGCUAAAUUUGAGUUCAGUGAGAGCGGAGAUGCAGUUUUUUCAGGUUACGUUUUUACUAGAGGAGGAUAUGUUGAACUGUCGACUAAGCUAUCACUUCCUCUUGGUAGCACGUUGGACAGUCUCCCUCCCAACUUCAGGUAUGAAGGUCUCGUACUUUCUGUAGGGGGGAAUGGAAGGUCAUAUGUUUUGAUUCUUGAAGCCGGAGGAGACACAACCCAGAGCAGUCUCUACUUUUCUAGAUUUAGCACAAAAGUGGGGUUUUGCAGGGUACGAGUCCCAUUUACUUCGUUCCGGCCUGUCAAUCCAGCUGAUCCACCACUGGAUCCGUUCCUUGUUCACACACUGACCAUACGUUUUGAACCCAGAAGACAGAGAGCUGCUGAAGGACCAGUUGGAACGAACCAGGACUUAAGAAGCUUUAAACUGAAACUGGAAUAUAUAAAAGCAUUGCCGACUGGACAAGAAACGGACUUCAUCUUGGUCUCAUGUACAGGGUCGGGAAUUGAAACUAGUAGAAGGGAGCAGGUUUUACGAGCCAAGAAGGCCGGAGAGGACUCUCUGAGAAGAUCAGGCCUUGGGUACACAAUAAUUCGCCCCGGUCCGUUAAUGUGAUUGUUGCAUUGGGUUUAUCAGGAAGAACCUGGGGGACAGCGAGCUCUCAUUUUUGAUCAAGGAAACAGGAUAUCUCAGGGUAUCAGUUGUGCCGAUGUGGCUGAUAUCUGUGUAAAGGCAUUGCAUGAUUCAACUGCAAGGAACAAGAGCUUCGAUGUAUGCUAUGAAUAUGUUGCUGAGCCGGGGAAGGAGUUGUAUGAGUUGGUGGCACAUCUGCCUGACAAAGCUAAUAACUAUCUAACACCGGCAUUAUCAGCUUUGGAAAAGAACACAUGAGAUACUACUGGUCUUUGCUGUUAUAUAUCUAUCUAUCUAUCUUGCUUGACCAGGGAUUAUGUACAUGGAAUUAUAUACCUCUUGAACUACUUGUAAAGCAUGGACUUAAAUCAUGUAAAUCGAAAAGCACGGGAUGAUCUUUGCUCUUAUAUCCCUUGAAUUAACUAA